rnacentral:rRNA from 1 species
ACGAGUGGCGGACGGGUGAGUAAUGUCUGGGAAACUGCCUGAUGGAGGGGGAUAACUACUGGAAACGGUAGCUAAUACCGCAUAACGUCGCAAGACCAAAGAGGGGGACCUUCGGGCCUCUUGCCAUCGGAUGUGCCCAGAUGGGAUUAGCUAGUAGGUGGGGUAACGGCUCACCUAGGCGACGAUCCCUAGCUGGUCUGAGAGGAUGAACGGCCACACUGGAACUGAGACACGGUCCAGACUCCUACGGGAGGCAGCAUG